rnacentral:rRNA from 1 species
GAAGAAGUUACAUAUUGGAGAUCUUGGGAGUGGUUGUCCUCUCCGAAAUAUCUUGGGGGAAUGGGCUUCCGAGACAUGCACUUAUUUAAUCAAGCCAUGCCUGCUAAGCAAUGUUGGCGACUGUUAUUGGAGCCCCUCUCUCUAUGUCACCGUGUAAUGAAAGGGAGAUAUUUUCCUGAUGGUGACUUUUGGAACUCAAAAUUCCCAAGAGCAGCAUCUUACACAUGGAGAAGCAUUAUGUAUGGGAAGGAGCUCCUGCGGAGAGGAUUGUUAUGGAGAGUUGGAGACGGAAAACAAAUUUCUAUCAUCCGGGAUAAUUGGAUACCAGACACCAUACAUGGGACAAUGCAAACAUUAAUUCCAGUGGAAGAUAACCAAACAGUGACCUCUCUAAUCUCUAGUAACAGCUCACUUGGAAAGAAGAUACUGUUAGAGAACUCUUUGAUCGUGACAUUGCAGAAAGAAUUCUUAAAAUUUCCCUAA